rnacentral:ncRNA from 2 species
CUGUUAAAGUAUAACCUUGGUGCUUGAUAUCAGGAGAUAUUAAGGUAAAAGGGAAAACGGUGCAAAUCCGUUACUCGGGCAGAAUAAAACAAUCUGUCUGAGCUGUAAGCGUGAUGAAAUUCCACUUGAGUCACUGCCGGCAACAUCAGCGCUCUUCGGGCGCAGAGUUAACACCGGCGGGAAGGCGGAAGAGUAAAACGAUCGCAAGUCAGAAAACCUGCCGGGCAGAUAGUUGUCUU